CUCGCGAAAGAAGACAGCAAGGCAUUCCGAAGACGGUGGAGACGAAAAGCAACGGGAAGAAAGAGAGAAACAGAAGGCGAUGCCGCGAGAUGCGAUGCGCUCGUCUAGGUCGAGCUUGCUUCAGGAGCUCCUGCUCUAUGCAGCGACCGCAGCGCUGAGUUCUCUCGUCCUCUUCGUCGGGUUACGCCAACUCGACCCCAACCAUUCGGCCAGAAAGAAGGCCCUCGAGCACAAGAAGGAGAUCGCCAAGCGCCUCGGUCGCCCUCUCAUCAACACCAACCCAUACGAGGAUGUAAUAGCUUGUGAUGUUAUAAAUACCGAUCACAUUGAUAUUGAAUUUGAGUCUAUUGGGGGUUUAGAGCAUGUCAAGCAAGCAUUAUUUGAAUUGAUCAUUCUUCCACUUCGUAGACCCCAGUUGUUUUCACAUGGAAAACUUCUUAGCCCACAAAAGGGCAUUCUGUUGUAUGGUCCACCUGGAACAGGAAAGACAAUGCUAGCCAAGGCCUUAGCAAAAGAGUCUGGUGCAGUUUUUAUUAAUGUGAGGAUCUCAAAUUUGAUGAGUAAAUGGUUUGGGGAUGCCCAAAAACUUGUUUCUGCUGUUUUUAGCCUUGCUUAUAAGCUACAACCUGCUAUUAUUUUCAUCGACGAGGUGGAUAGUUUUUUGGGUCAGCGACAGAAUACAGAUCAGGAAGCAUUGGCUAACAUGAAAACUGAGUUCAUGUCCUUGUGGGAUGGCUUCACAACUGACCAGAAUGCUCGUGUAAUGGUUCUUGCUGCUACAAAUCGGCCAUCAGAGUUAGAUGAGGCAAUCCUCAGGCGGUUUACCCAAACUUUUGAAAUUGGCAUGCCUAAUCAAAAUGAGAGGGCCAUCAUACUAAAGGUAAUACUCAAGGGUGAAAAUGUCGAAGAAAACAUUGAUUACGAGUACCUAGCUGCAUUGUGUCAAGAUUUUAGCGGUUCAGAUUUGCUUGAAUUGUGCAAACAAGCAGCCUAUUUCCCGAUCAGGGAGUUACUCAAUGAUGAGAAGAAUGGAAAGAUAUGCACUGUGAGUAUUUAUCAUUUUUAUCAAAUAAUAUUUUGGCAAGUUCAUUCCUCCAACUUUCCCCUUGAUGCCUAAUAAAUUUAAGCCAAUCUAAUCCAUUCAAGAGCAUAUCUGCAUACUUCAUGAUAGCCAGAUCUACGCCCCCAUGGGCUGGAUCAGCUGGUAGGGUGUCUGGACGCUUGCAUCGAAGGUCGUAGGGUCGAGGGUUGCCAGCUGCACACGGGUGUCAAAUCUCGGUCUGCUGUGCUUAAAUUCCACUCGACCCCCAGUCACCCCUCCCGCCCAGCUUAACCAUGAUUUAUCCCCUCUGGACAUCUGUGGGGCCGGAUCCAGGGGGCCGCUAAGGUGGCGGUUCCACCUUUUUGCAUGAUAGCCAGAUCUACGAUUGUUGUCUAUUGUUCAUUUUGAUGUUCUAUCUUCUUUAUUCUGUGAGGUCUCGCUCCUGACCUAUGCAUGUUCACUAGACUAGAUCUUCUAUUAAGGCAUUUUUCUAUAAAGUUGGUAUUCGAGUUUUUUCUCUUUGCGAACCUUGAGAGGACUUUGUGGAGACAAAAUUUAACAUUUGUGUGGCAACCUCUGCAUUUCAAGCAGGGUCCGAGACCACUAGAACAGUCAGACUUGGAGAGUGCACUAGUAACAUCUCGGAAGGCGAGGAAAUUAACCGGUAUACAGCCACCUGAACGGCCUGCACAAACAGAGCCAAAUGAAGAAGAGCCAAUGCACGAUGCCAUUUUGGAGUUCUCAGAGCUUGUGUCUAGCCCAGUGAACAAUCAAUAUCAAAGCCAGGACGCAUAGGUCAUCUAGCUCCUCUCUAAUGCUUGGGCAAGUUGCCUUGAUCAGCGACCUUUCUGGGCACGGCAUUGACAACAAAAUAUCUGUCUUCUUUCUGCUUUUGUUGAUAUAAAAAAACUCACCGAAUAUGAUAUUCUGUGUCGAUCUUUUCAAUCGUGUCAUUUUUUGUAACUGAAUAUAUAUAUAUAUUUUAGUUUGAUAAAAAAAAAAAGUGAUGUGAAACAAAGAACAUCGAUCUGCACCA